rnacentral:rRNA from 1 species
CGGCGCACGGGUGAGUAUCGCGUUUGCACCUACCUCUGACUGGAGCAUAGGCCGAGGACAAUCGGAUUAAUACUCCAUAAUACUGCGAGAAGGCAUCUUUUUUCAGUUAAAGCUUCGGCGGUCGGAGAUGGGCAUGCGNUACAUUAGCUAGUUGGUGAGGUAACUGCUCACCAAUGCUACGAUGUUUAGGGGGUCUGAGAGGAUGGUCCCCCACACUGGUACUGAGACACGGACCAGACUCCUAGGGGAGGCAGCAGUGAGGAAUAUUGGUCAGUGGGCGAAAGCCUGAACCAGCCAUGCCGCGUGAAGGAUGACGGCCCUAUGGGUUGUAAACUUCUUUUAUACGGGAAGAAACCUCUCUACGUGUAGAGGGUUGACGGUACCGUACGAAUAAGCAUCGGCUAACUCCGUGCCAGCAGCCGCGGUAAUACGGAGGAUGCAAGCGUUAUCCGGAUUCAUUGGGUUUAAAGGGUGCGCAGGCGGAGAAUUAAGUCAGUGGUGAAAUCCUGCAGCUUAACUGUAGAAUUGUCAUUGAUACUGGUUUUCUUGAAUGCAGUUGAGGUAGGCGGAAUGUGUAAUGUAGCGGUGAAAUGCUUAGAUAUUACCCAGAACACCGAUUGAGACAGGCAGCUUACUCAACUGUGAUUGACGCUGAGGCACGAAAGCGUGGGGAGCGAACAGGCAUAGAUACCCUGGUAGUCCACGCUGGUAACUAUGAUCACUCG